rnacentral:rRNA from 1 species
UACGUAGGGUGCAGGCGUUACUCGGAAUUACUGGGCGUAAAGCGUGCGCAGGCGGUCUUUUAAGUCAGAUGUGAAAUCCCCGGGCUUAACCUGGGAACUGCGUUUGAAACUGAAAGGCUAGAGUGUGGCAGAGGGGGGUGGAAUUCCACGUGUAGCAGUGAAAUGCGUAGAGAUGUGGAGGAACACCGGUGGCGAAGGCGGCAUCCUGGACCAACACUGACACUGAGGAGCGAAAGCCAGGGGAGCAAACGGG